UCAUUCUUUUCAAUAAUAUGAACAUCAAUAUCAGCCCAUACAAUAUUCAUUGAUUCACAUGGUGUUACUGAACAACCACUUCACAGAAUAUAAUAUUCUCUACCAUAACCAAACUUUUAAUGGGUAGUCCUCUACUUAUGGCCAUGGCUGGAGAAGACUCCUGCGAAUCCCUUGGACUGCAAGGUGAACAAACAAGUCAGUUCUAGAGGAGAUCAACCCUGAUUGCUCUUUAGAAGGUCAGAUCCUGAAGAUGAAACUGAAAUACUUUGGCCACCUAAUGAGAAAGAAGGACUCACUGGAGAAGAGCCUAAUGCUGGGAAAGAUUGAGGGCAAAAGAAGAAAGGGACGACAGAGAACGAGGUGGCUGGAUGGAGUCACUACUGAAUUUAAAUGGACUCCAGAGGAUGGUAGAGGACAGGAAGGCCUGGAGGAAUGUUGUCCAUGGGAUUGCGAUGGGUCGGACUUCGCAACUAACAACAACAACAACGAGCAGUUGUUAACCAAGAACUGUGUUGGCUUUUUUGGCAGCUGCUUCAUACUGCUGGAUCAUAUUUAAAUGAUUGUCCACUAGGACUCCAAGAUCCCUCUCACAGUCACCAUUGUUGAGCAAGAGCAAUGAUGAAUAGCAAGGGAAGAAAUGGACAUCCUUGCUUUGAAGCUGUACUGAAAAUCUACAGAGAAGAUGCCAUUUGACCAUGAACGUCUGGACACAUGCAUUUGACUCAGCCUUGGAACUCUUCUCUGGCGUUGAUUUUAUCCAGUAGAGCCAACAGAAAUUGCCUUUGCAAAUUGACAAAGGCUUUUUCCACACCCGAAAAGAUUAGUGCAGCUUUCUUCCUUUCUUUAUUUCUGUGUUCUCUUAUAUUGAUUAUGAACCUGCUAUUGUCCUUUAUAUUUCUCUUUCAGAUAUAGCCUGUUUGAUCAAUAUGUAUUAUAUCUGAAACACAUUUCUACAAUUGAUUGUAAAAGUUUUAUAAUCUAUAUUCAGUAGCAAAAUUUCUCUAUAUAACCUUGGUUUCUUUGGAAAAAUUUCCUUCUUUGUAAUCAGAGUUGUGUAUGCUUCUUCCCUGGUUGGUGGCAUUGUCUUUGUUUCUUUAAGAUCAUCCAUCAUUUGUUGAUAGUUCUAGCAGAUCCUCCUCAAGUUCUAUGUAAUAGAAUUGAGGACCUGUAUACUGCACGAAUCAAGAAGAGGGCCGUGAAAAUAUUUGCAGAUCACUCGCAUCCUGGACAUAAACUGUUUCAACCCCUACCCUCAAAACGACGCUAUAGAGCACUGCACACCAGAACAACUAGACACAAGAACAGUUUUUUCCCGAAGGCCAUCACUCUGCUAAACAAAUAAUUCCAUCAACACUGUCAGACUAUUUACUGAAUCUGCACUACUAUUAAUCGUCUCAUAGUUCCCAUCACCAAUCUCUUUCCACUUAUGACUGUAUGACUAUAACUUGUUGCUGGCAAUCCUUAUGAUUUAUAUUGAUAUAUUGAUCAUCAAUUGUGUUGUAAAUGUCGUACCUUGAUGAAGGUAUCUUUUCUUUUAUGUACACUGAGAGCAUAUGCACCAAGACAAAUUCCUUGUGUGUCCAAUCACACU